ACAUGCAAGUCGAACGGGGUCAUGGGGCUUGCUCCAUGACUUAGUGGCGCACGGGUGAGUAACGCGUGGGAACCUGCCCUCGAGUGGGGAAUAACGACGGGAAACUGUCGCUAGUACCGCAUACGUCCUUCGGGAGAAAGGCUUCGGCCGCUCAAGGAUGGUCCCGCGUCCGGUUAGCUAGUUGGUGAGGUAACGGCUCACCAAGGCGACGAUCGGUAGCUGGUCUGAGAGGAUGAUCAGCCACACUGGGACUGAGACACGGCCCAGACUCC
rnacentral:rRNA from 1 species